UUCUGCUCCAGGUUAGCCGCUUUCCAUUAUUUUUUGUUUUCUCAUUUAUGCUCAAACUACUUUUGCUUUGUCUAGGGUACAUGAACUACUUUGUUGAUUGAUCUAUAACAAUACCAUUGAUACUAGAUUACCUUGUUCAUCGGUUGUUUCACCCCUGCAUCAUCUCAACACGAAAAGCCUAUACGAGUGAGUUAUAUAAAUUACGCAAUUUUUUUAAAAAAAAUCAAAGCUUUUUGUUGAUGCUAUGACCUUAAUGGUUGGGCCCGACAUCCAUAACAAAAACCUUUGUCAUGCCUUCACAGGUUGGACCCAACAACAUCGGAGGGCGUAGCUCCUCCUUGAAGGCCUUGCGAUAAAAGAAAAGAAAGGAAAUGGCGACUUACCUAUAUGUUUCUUUUCUCAUAUUUGUCAUGGUUAUGCCAUUAUUUUCUACAUCAUGUACUCUGCUUGUAAGUAGAUGCAUUGGUCUCAUUGUGUUGUACCUUUCUUAAUAUAACUAGCAUGGUGGCGGCGGAAGUACUUACUAUUUAUUUUUAUAUUUAUGCAUGUUUUUU
rnacentral:lncRNA from 1 species